UACGUAGGGGGCAAGCGUUGUCCGGAAUCAUUGGGCGUAAAGCGCACGUAGGCGGUCUGUUAUGUCGGAUGUGAAAGCCCUCGGCUCAACUGAGGAAGUGCAUCCGAAACUGGCAGGCUAGAGUACUAAAGAGGGUCGCGGAAUUCCCGGUGUAGAGGUGAAAUUCGUAGAUAUCGGGAGGAACACCGGUGGCGAAGGCGGCGACCUGGGUAGAUACUGACGCUGAGGUGCGAAAGCGUGGGGAGCAAACAGG
rnacentral:rRNA from 1 species